rnacentral:rRNA from 1 species
UACGAAGGGGGCUAGCGUUGCUCGGAAUCACUGGGCGUAAAGCGUACGCAGACGGCCACGCAGGUCGGGUGUGAAAGCCCCGGGCUCAACCCGGGAAUUGCAUUCGAAACCAUGUGGCUCGAGUGUGGGAGAGGAGAGUGGAAUUCCUGGUGUAGCGGUGAAAUGCGCAGAUAUCAGGAAGAACACCCGUGGCGAAAGCGGCUCUCUGGAACGGUACUGACGCUGAGACGCGAAAGCGUGGGGAGCGAACAGG